GUUUCUAAGAAAAAUUAACCAUUUUGACUAAAAUAAAUAACAAGCAAAUAAAAAUAACAACUGUAAGAACCAAAAGUUUAAGCAGAACUGACGAACAGGCGUCGAAAUUACGUCAAUGUUGGAUUGUUGGCAAAGUUGGAAAAUCGUUGGAUUGUUGGAUCGCGCGCUUAAUUGCCGUCCAACUAAAUAUUUGAAUUCUUAAAUAAAUUACAAAAAUCACAAUAAUAUACAAUUUUAGUAACUUUUAUAUAAUAAACAAAGUUUGCAUGGUACUAAACAAAUUUCUAUGGUAACUACAAAUACAACAAUAUAUUCAGCGCCACCGGAAGUCACAAUACGUAAACAACAUUGCAAAAAGUUAUGUCUGUCACCGGCGGAUUAAAAUGAUAAAUAUCCAGGAAAAUGAACAUUAACAUUUGCAAAACAUUGAAGACGUUGACUACAAAUACUAAAAAGAAAUUACCAGAAGUAUGUGAAAACAGUUGCCAACACGUAAAAAUAGUGUUUUUAUUGAACAACCGUCCCAAAUGACACAUGGGUUCUACUGCGCAUGUCAAUACAUUUCAUUCAUAAAAUUCAAGCACCGGCGGAUUAAAAUGAUAAAUAUCCAGGAUAAUGCACAUUAACAUCUGCAAAACAUUGAAGACGUUGACUACAAAUAACUAUGAACUUGUAAAUUAUAACAUGAACUUCAACUGGUUAUCAAAUAUGUGCAAAUGACAUUAAUUCAAUAUUUC
rnacentral:lncRNA from 1 species